rnacentral:rRNA from 1 species
AUUGAACGCUGGCGGCAGGCCUAACACAUGCAAGUCGAACGAGUGGCGGACGGGUGAGUAAUGUCUGGGAAACUGCCUGAUGGAGGGGGAUAACUACUGGAAACGGUAGCUAAUACCGCAUACCAUCGGAUGUGCCCAGAUGGGAUUAGCUAGUCGGUGGGGUAACGGCUCACCGAGGCGACGAUCCCUAGCUGGUCUGAGAGGGUGACCAGCCACACUGGAACUGAGACACGGCCCAGACUCCUACGGGAGGCAGCAGUGGGGAAUAUUGCGCAAUGGGCGAAAGUCUGAUGCAGCCAUGCCGCGUGUAUGAAGAAGGUCUUCGGGUUGUAAAGUACUUUCAGUGGGGAAGCGUUACCUGACCAGGAAGCAACGGCUAACUCCGUGCCAGCAGCCGCGGUAAUAC